rnacentral:lncRNA from 1 species
AUUUUCCUGCCCGGAAGGAUGCAUGGCCCGGGGUCUCCUGCACCUGAGGGUGGGCGGGAGGCGGCCCCGCGGGUUGUGUUGCUGGAAAAAGGGGUCUCGAUCCAGACCCCAAGAGAGGGUUCUUGGGUCUACCGCAGGGAAGAAUUGGAGGCGAGUCACAGAGCGCAGUGAAGGAAGCAAGUUUAUUGGAAUCUACUCCGUUAGAGAGUGCAAGUCCUCACACUGCAGGAGGAGGAACUCCCGUCCUUCGGUAGUGUCACUACUUAGAGGCAACUGUGAGGAGCUGUGAUUAAUCGUGGAAUGUGCUGAUGUGCCCACUAAAGACGCCUGGUAAGCAGUGGCUCCUCUAACAAGUGGGCAGCUUGGAACUGGGAACGAGAGAGCCACCGAAACAGAAAGAGGGAGACAAAGAAGUGGGCAUCACCCUCAGCUCCACAAGGGCUUCCCAAGGGCGCUGUACCGUAUGCAGGCGCAGGACGAACUUUAUUUCUCGCCCCAGCAUCGCUGUCCUUGUCAGUGAGACCCUGGCUUUAGGGCAGACAGGACCACGUUUCAUAAAUUCAUGCUGUCCCAGCAGAGGAAUAACGCCAGAAACUGUUCCAGUACAACCAGAGAGAGAGUCCAUGAGAAAUCUGCCCUUGUGAAGUUGGAAUCCCCUCAACCUCACCCCGCUGACUUGAAUGAAGCAACUGAGACGGGCUGUGAUGGAGCAGAUCCGGUUGCUCGACCUUCUCGCUUGCACCAACACAUGUAGUUAAUAGUUACUGGACAUGCACAUUCAGUGGGUUCAGUGGGUUCCAGGUACCAAACUUGUGUUGAAUGGUAUGUGCCAGACACCGUCUUGAGAUCUGGAGAAUAAAAAAAUAAAAACGAAACAUCCAGAGCACAGUA